CGUUCAAGCGAGCCGCGAACGCACCAUAACUCGAUGUUUUACCCGCGCGGAUUUUCUGCAGCUCCGUCCAUACCUUGCGCUGGAACGCCGUGCCGUUGGUCCGCCAUUUGAUCUUUUUCAAUUCGCCAAGAUCGCCGGCAAAAUAACGGGUCAGUGCUGCCGUGAUGUUUUUGGGAGCCGACGCACGUUCCAGCACGUAGUCCCCAUAGUGCCGCCGCGAUGCAGCCGUGUCUCGUAGUCGCUCCAGUCGAGCGCGCGCAGGAAGCCCAGAUCGUCGGUGACGAGCAAGGCGG
rnacentral:misc_RNA from 1 species